CCUACGGUGUGCAGCAGUGGGGAAUAUUGCACAAUGGGGUAAACCCUGCUGCAGCGACGCCGCGUGAGUGAAGAAGUAUUUCGGUAUGUAAAGCUCUAUCAGCAGGGAAGAACUAGCGACCUUUGGGUCGCCAGACGGUACCUGAUUAAGAAGCCCCGGCUAACUACGGACCAGCAGCCGCGGUAAUACGUAGGGGGCAAGCGGUAUCCGGAUUUACUGGGUGUAAAGGGAGCGUAGACGGCAGCGCAAGUCGGAAGUGAAAUGCCGGGGCUUAACCCCGGAACUGCUUUGGAAACUGGGCAGCUAGAGUGCAGGAGAGGUAGGUGGAAUUCCUGGUGGAGCGGUGAAAUGCGUAGAUAUUAGGAGGAACACCAGUGGCGAAGGCGGCUUACUGGACUGUAACUGACGUGGAGGCUCGAAAGCGUGGGGAGCAAACAGGAUUAGAGACCCUUGUAGUC
rnacentral:rRNA from 1 species